rnacentral:rRNA from 1 species
UACAGAGGUCCCGAGCGUUGUUCGGAUUCACUGGGCGUAAAGGGUGCGUAGGUGGCUUGACAAGUUUGAUGUGAAAUCUCCGGGCUUAACCCGGAAAAUGCAUUGAAUACUGUAGAGGCUUGAGGUUUGGAGGGGGGAUUGGAAUUCUCGGUGUAGCAGUGAAAUGCGUAGAUAUCGAGAGGAACACCUGCGGCGAAGGCGGGUUGCUGGGCUGACACUGACGCUGAUGCGCGAAAGCCAGGGGAGCGAACGGG